rnacentral:lncRNA from 1 species
GAAGCUAAAGGAAGAAGGAAAACCGUUGCCAACAAACAUUGCCGAGGUAGAAAUUUAAAACGUGGUCCCCUGUUGUUAGGAAUUGAAGUUUAUUAUCGUGAUUACUUUAUCAAGCCAAAAAAAGUUCAAUUAUUUUAUGGAUUCAUUCGAUGUCUUUUCUUUAUUAUUGGCUAAGACUCAGUUCCUAUUACUUUUCUAUCCUCGUAGGACUAGGAAGAAUGGCUCUUGGAGCUUCUUUUCUCCUAUCUCCUGCUUCUUGUAUACUCUCAUAGUUUUAUAAAUAUAUAAUAUAAUUGUUUCUUUCUCACACAAAUUUGACACUGCUCAACUAAUCAUAUUUUCUACAAACCAUGUGUUUAUUAGGUCCAGAAACUGGUGGGUUCAAAUCCAUUGGAUCUAGCUAGGUCAAAUUUGGCCAAGAGUGGCCAAAUAAGCCGGAAUGCUCUCUGUCCUUGCGGAUCAAAGAAGAGAUAUAAACGGUAUUUAAUUUAGAACACUUACCAGUCUUCCAUUGAUUAUUCACUGAAUUGUAGUAGUACCUAAAAUGUUUCUUUGUUGAACUUGCUAUUAGUUCUCAAUUCAUAGAUAAAAACAGACCAAAUCAGAAAGUUUUGCUAUGCUUUAGAUGGAGUACAAGCAAGUUUUGUUGUUUGGGCGAAACUAAUCUCAGGAAUAUUAAUUCUUUUCAUUAGGCGUUUAUUUAUUAUUUUUUAAGAAACAAAUUCUAUUGAUGAAUGAAAUUUACAAAAGAGAGAAUAUAUGCGCAGACGUCAGACCAAAAGAGUUACAAAAGUCUUUUCUAAUUGGUCAAAAGAUAUGAAAGAUCAUAAGAACUAUAGGGAGGUGUACAUUUGCACCAAUACUUUGCCAGAUAGAUAAUAUUUUCAAAACGUCAGAAAGCAUUUUCGUCAUCAUCCAGCAUCUCAUUCGUUUAAUUGAAAAUUCUAUUUAUUGAAACUUAUCCCUUUCAUGUUAUCUUAUUCUCUCAUAGCUCGUUACGCUUAAAAGAUGUUUGAUUAGUUCAGUUGUUUUUGUUGUUUUGAAGGUGCUGCGGGAAGGAUCAAACUGUAUAAGAAGAGAACUUGCAUGUGCCUAUUUUUUGCAUGAAUGAUUGACAGUGUAUAAGAAUUUUUUUCUAUUCGUCGUUCCAUUCUGUCUUAUUUGGUUCUCUGGAUUAUGAUAUGUUGAGUCUUCUUCUUUCAAUGCAUCAAAUCCACGCCCUUUAUUAUAAAGGGAUCUUCCAUAGCUUCUUCAAGGUUAAGCUAUUUUCAAACUAGUGUGUAUUUGUACUGCAAAAGAGAAGGAGUAUGAAUAACAAAAAAGAUUCACCAGAAAUAAUACAGGAGAAGACAAUACACGAAAUUACUUAGAUUCAUUUUUACGAGUAAGCUAGGGUAGCAACCACGGUGUGCUUGCUUUUCGAACUUAGUCUACAAAGGUAUCGAACUCAUAGUUACUUGGUGGUUAUGUUUUCUUUAUUAAAAUGGUGAUCUUUGAUGUGUUUGGUAUGAUUAUGAAGAACAGGGUCCUUUAUUCAUGUGAUUGCAUUGGAUGUAAUUGUCACAUAGAGAUUGUAUUUUACAGAAAUGGGAAGUGGAAUAGCGAAUAGCUAAAGCAAUUACAUAAAGCUUCAACCACUUACAAUUUGUCAAGGUAUAACAAGACACCAGAUCACCAAUAGUUAUGGAUAAGGGCAAACAUCUUUUUAAUAGUUUAAUCUUCACUUAAUUAACCCACAUAAAAAAAAAUUCUUUAAUUAUUGAAUCCAAACAAUUUGUGUACAUCUACACUCUCCUCACUAGAGAUCCUUAAUCAUUGUCUUUGCACCUAACAUUUUUUUAACUAGAAAACUAUUAAUGCAUUUAACUAUAUAUCUAUGUAUAAGUCAAGUCUUCUUCUUCCUUUGUUUUGUUUUUUUUUUUAUAUAAUAUGAAGAAACAUUUUUUCUUGAAAAGAAUGUGAAGUUGUGGAAAAAUAGAAAAAGGUAAACUCACUUUUGUGGAAGGAAAAAAAAAUCUAUCUAAUUGACUAAUAAAUUUAUAAGGUCUUUUACAAUAAUUCUUCCUUAGGGUAAAAAAUCAAAAAUAAAAAAAAAAUAAUUCGACGAGGGUGUAACGGUGACAACACCUAUAUCCAUAUAGUCCACUAAGUACUCAAUUAAACCCUGCCAUGUGGCUAAAAAAAACGAAACUAUACCUAAUUAUUACUCUAAAAAGAUUAUGGUAUAUUUGAUUGUUUAAAGGAGCAAAUUGGGAUUAGGUUUAGAAACGAGGUGAAAGUUGAACCACUCCCCUUUUUAUAAGAGAAUAUAUAGUACAUACUCUCAUCAAAUAAUAAAUGAAAAUUUUCUUCAUUUGCAAUAAAAGAAAUCAAUUUAGAUUGUUUGUUGUCUUUGGCACACUAAGGUUCCAAAAUGGCCUCAAAAUUGCUUAGAGUUGAGCUCCAAAAAAAAACAUGGCAGUCAAAAAUGGCAAGACUUCUUCUUUUCAUUUCCUUGCUAAUGAGCUACUUCUUCUUCUAUGGUAAUAUGCUUCAUCCUGCUUUUGUUGAAAUCAUUUCUAUAGUGUAUUUAUCCAACAAAAGAGUUUUACAAAUUAGAGAAAAAAGAAUGCUUCGAGUUUUCUCUAUGUGGGUAAAAUCAAAUUCAUCACUAUCCGGUCAAAAUUCAAUCUUCGUUUUUGUUAUUAGCUCCUUAAUUUCAAAAGUUGUCAUAUAUUACUUUUUGACAUUUCAUAAAUGCUAUAUAAUUUUCUGUAGAGUAGAACUAUGAAGUUAGAGUGUUAGACAAAGAUUGAGAUCCAAAUGAUGACAUGUAAUGAAAAUUAAGACUUGAAUAAAUAUUGUUCUACGUCUUAGCUUAAGUUCAAAAUUCUUAUAAAAUUACUCUAAGCAUUGUUCUUAAACAUUUCUAAAAGGUUGGUAUAAUAGUAAAAGUAUCAUUAUUAUGAAUAGCAAUAUUUUAAAAACAAACGAACCUGUGUUGUUGAAGAGCAUUUUUUUACAACAUCUCAUUAUCACAUCUUAAGAUCUUUGAAACAAUAGAAAGUAGUGAUAUUCAAAGUACAUGAACCAAGUAGAUCGUUUAAAAAAGUAUGUCAUAAUUUAUUUGAAGUUGAUUUUUGUGUUUGUGUGAGUGAUGAUACAGCACAAGCAAGGAAUUGUCAUAGAGUGUGGAGUUGCAAAGGAGACAUUAGGUGUUGGGAAGAUUGUAAGAAUCAACACAAUGGAAAGGGACUUUGUGAUUUGUACACUGCACCUUCGGUUCCUAAACAAUGCUUUUGUGCCUAUAAAUGUUGAUAACAUUUCUCUUUUGUAUUUACUUUCUUGGCCAAAAGAGGAGUCCACUUAAUAAUAAUUACUAUUUAUGCUCUUAUAUUUGUUUUUUCUCAAUGACUUGGAUAGAUUUUUUUUUUUGUUUCUGUAAUUCGCUAAACUUUAUAUUAUAAACAACUUUAGUGCAUAUAAAUUUAGAUUUAGAUUUUUCACCUUCUAACUCUUUAAAUUUUAUUUUUUUAGGGAAAGGAGUUAAGUUAGUUAGACCAAUACUUAGAUAAAUUACGAGUAACAUCUACAUGUUUGCAUUCCAUAUUUAUCACUUACACACAAAAGAAGAAAAAGAAGAAUUAAAACAAUGGUAUUUUUCUAAACAACAAAAUAAAUUAAAACAUUUACUAUCUAUAGCAAAAUUUUGAAUUUUAUCAAAACUGAUAGACUUUUAUAACUUUCUAUUAAUGCCAUUGAUAAAAACAUAUAGUGUAUGAUAUUGAUAAAAUAUGAAAAUUUUGUCAUAUGUUAUAAAUAUUUCAUCAAAUUUGCUAUUUUUGACAAUUCUCUAGUCAAAUAUUAUAAAAAAUAAAUAAAAAGAUUUUGUCGUGAAUAUUCUUCCAUUAGUUAGGAUAAUGUUUGUUGAGGAUAGGCAAGUACCACUUGUCAUGUCAAUAGUUGAAUACUAAAUUUUUUUAUAUGAACUCAUUGUCCUUUAGCAUAACUUGUAUCUUUUGUUGAUAACAGAAUUACUGAUGCAUGCUUUUUCUUUUACAAAUAUUGCCUUUAUGUUAAACAACUCCACUUCUAAACAUAUGUAAAAUAGAAAUAACAUUAAUAACACAAAGUAGCAUAAUGCUAGCACGAGAGUCAUUCUCACUUUCUCUAACAUAAUUAUGAGAGUUUGGUCAUUCAUCGUCGUUGACCAACAUCUUGAAACUAACUACGUUUUCAUUUAACUUAUUUUAUAUUUGUUUGAAAAACAAUAUAUAUAAAAUCGGAUUACAUCUCAACUUAAUAUAAUUAUACAAUAAUAAGUUAUAGGUUAAAACAUGUGAUCAGACAUCUUAUAAUACUUGAAAAAAACCAAUCACAAAAUGACGAUCACAUUUGAAGAGAGAAAAAAAUUGGUUGAAUGAAGUAUAUUAUGGGAUUAUAGUCCCACAUCGGAAUAUAUUACACGAUAGGAGGGAUAGGGUGACUAUAAGAAGGGUGUAAGGCAUGGUAAGCAAAUUACUUACCUGGAUGGAGCCAAUGGCCGAUCAAGAAUAGCCAUGGCUUAGGCGCGUGACUUCCAUUGCACGUGGGGAGGGUGCGCGCUUAAGGUCUGUCUGAAAUGGGCAGAGCCUACAUCAUCAUUUGUGGCAGUGGGGGCUUGCGUGCGCGCAGCCCCUUCCUAAUCCUCAACAACCAAUAUUUAAGUGAACAUUAAUUCUUGACCAUUGAGUUUAAUCUUGCUCUAAUUUUUAUUCACGAUGUCUAUGUAAUAAUGUUCAAAAUGGCUUGAAAAUGAUCUAACGUUUGUUGAAGUUUUAAGGUAGGUAAAUUUUGUAUAAAUUAAAAUUAAAUUUAGAGGAGUCCAAUUUUUCUUUAAAUUAACAGUAUUAAGUUUUCAGUUAUUAAGUAAUUAAUUAAAUUUGCGAUUUUUUUUAACUUAUUCUAAUUUUUGAAACUAAGCUAAAAAUUAUUGAUGAAAUAUUUUAGUCAUUUAAGUUGAUGAACUUAAAUUUUAGUAACUUUUGACUCUAUUGUUAAAAGGUGAUUCAAUGCAAACUUAAAAGCAUCUAAUUCACCUUCUUUUAACGUAACGUCAAAUGCUUUUAAUUCACAUUCUCUUAACAUAAUGUCAGAAGUGAAAUAUUACUUGAUCCUGUCAUAAGAGACUCUAACACAUGUUUCUAUCCCGUAAAGCUAAAUAAGAAUUUACACAAAAUGAAGUUGAAUACUGCGUAAGAUGAAGUUGAAUGUAUCUAAGUAAGUCUCGCCUCAAAGUUACUUCUUUAUAGCAUUUAUUCAUAUAGUGUUAUAUUUCAAUUUCAUAAGAAAAACAAACUACAAAUACAUACAUGAUCUCUCUCAUUCAUGCUUAAAAGUAAAAGAAACCAUUUAAAAUAACGGAGUAUUUUUUCAUUGUCUUUUCUUGUGGGGAAAGAAAAAGUUUUUUAGAGAAAAAACGAACCGGACCAAAUUGAGAACCGAACCGGCGCGAACCUGUACGUGGACUUUAAAUACAAAGCGUGGAUUAGGGUUUAGAAUUCAACUGCUGAAGUUGAGACAUUCACCGGGAACGGACCAAUGGCAGAGCACUCCGCGCCACCCACUGACCAACUCGCCGCCGUCGCCUUGAACAACGAUGCUCCCGCUUACGAAUCUCUUAAAGCUGAAUUCUCUGACCGUGUUACGAUCCGUACAAUUGUCUCCCGGCCCGACGGCGGCGCAGGCCUCGCCGGCCAGAAAGUACGCGUCGGUGGUUGGGUCAAAACUGGAAGAAAGGCUGAUA